CAGUUCAGCGACUGGUAAUAGCACAAACACCCAACUAAUUUUGCUGUGACCAUGUGGUGUUCAUAAGAGCAAAACAGUAACAUGUUGUUAAAGAUAAGCAUGUAGAAAGUGAAACAUGCUUGCACAAACGUCUAGAUAAACAUUUAAUUUAUUUGCAAGUUUUGCAACUUACCUUGACCACGGGAGAAAGAUUAUAAUAAACAAGAACAAAAACAAAAAAUGUCAAGGCAUGAAAUAUUCACCCCAUUCUGCCAAUGAAAGCCAGACACCAAAUUUGUUUGAAACUACUAUGUUUUGUUGAGAGAGAGACACCAAAUGUAUUUCCCUCUACGAAUAUGGCAGCUGUCCGGUUUAGAGUUCGACGCCUGUAGAGGGGAUGCAGUUACAGCAGCACCAAGACAAAUGUCAACAUCGGUGUGGCUUUCCCAAUGAACAGUUUGACGGUUGACUCCGAGCUGGCACUGUUUCUACCCCACAGCAGUGUCCGGAAAGUCAGGAGUUUGGUGCUGACGUGAAAAUCUUCAGUGCCGGACCAACGGCCAAGUCCUUUAUUCACUGGUGUAUCCACUGGACGUGCCCCUACAGUCUGUUAGAGAUUCCAGCAGUCUUAGUGGAAAGGCAGCUGCUGUGGGUUGUGUCUCUUUCUGACUCAUUGGUGGUUACAGGGGACGAUUCAGACCUUCUAUCACCAGUAUCAUCUACCAUUGGCACUGCAAAGAGGCGCAACAAAAAUAUGCACAGAAUGUUGCCAGUCAACGGAACACAAAUGAGAGGCUUGCAGCGAACCCUGAGGUUCUGACCAGCUAAUUUGUUUCAAUCCUUGAAGACUACGGGGUGCGUAUAUUGAAGUUAAUUGGAAAGUUCAUUUAGAAAGAAAACAGGGUGUUGUGAUUGCAUUUUUCGAGAGGCUGUCGUGACAUUUUCAGUUAAAACCAACGUUGCCCAAAACUUUCACAUUUACACAUCACUAAGUGAUAGAAAAAAAAAUGACAUCACUGCAGCAUUACCACUGGCUGUGUCUGGGUACGGGCACAAUGACGAAAAAAACAAACAGGAAUUCUAAUGCUUGUUAUUAUUAUUUGGCCCACACAGAUACACCCUCUGAUAUUGUUUGUAGACUUUUAUUCGUUUAAAAUAACACCAGAUGAAAUCAAAAGUAAACCAUUAUCAUGUUGCUGUGCCCUCCUGUGCUACUAUGGAGCGUGAUGCAUUGGAAGCCCAUCACACAGAGCUCUGUCCUCUCCAGCUCUGUGAGCUAGGCUACGUUAGGCUAGGCUAGGCUAAGUGCACUACACCGUUUUGACUCCACAAUACACACCAGGUUAUAGUCAUGGCCUUUGCAUAUCACGUUCAAUUAGAUCUUUUUU